GGAGGGGUGUCCGAGCGGUUGAUGGAGACGGUCUUGAAAACCGUUGGGGCCCGAAAGGCCCUCGUGGGUUCGAAUCCCACCCCCUCCG
rnacentral:tRNA from 1 species